GACGAACGCUGGCGGCGUGCUUAACACAUGCAAGUCGAGCGGUAAGGCCCUUUCGGGGGUACACGAGCGGCGAACGGGUGAGUAACACGUGGGUGACCUGCCCUUAGCUCUGGGAUAAGCCUGGGAAACUGGGUCUAAUACCGGAUAUGACUCCAUAACGCAUGUUGUGGGGUGGAAAGCCUUGUGCGGCUAGGGAUGGGCCCGCGGCCUAUCAGCUUGUUGGUGGGGUGAUGGCCUACCAAGGCGACGACGGGUAGCCGGCCUGAGAGGGCGACCGGCCACACUGGGACUGAGACACGGCCCAGACUCCUACGGGAGGCAGCAGUGGGGAAGUCUUGCGCAAUGGGCGAAAGCCUGACGCAGCGACGCCGCGUGGGGA
rnacentral:rRNA from 1 species